AAUAGAGGAAGGGAAGUACCUGACGGGCGAUCUGGGAGGCAACGCUGGCACAACCGAGUACACGAAUGCUGUUUGCGAGAAGCUAUAGGAAGAGUGACGACGAAAGGGAAAACAAAUCAAGGAAGCGAACGAAGGAACGAACCUGUGCGCGUUGCUCAUUACGACGUUAGGCUCUCCGGUGGCUUCGUUUUCAUCCUCUCGCCCAAGACAAGUUUUACAGUAAGAUCGAUUUCCAGGCUCGCGAUGUCUCUAUUGACAGAAGACCGUUUCUCUCUCUUUUUUUCUUCUUCUGAUGACUCGAAUGAAUAAAACUGGUGAAGCAAAGUUUGCAGACAAAUAAAUUUUUACGAAAGAACUUCGAGAAGAAAAUAGGAAAUUCUUUGAGCUUAAGAAGAUCGAAGGUAGAAAGAAAUUUCUGCCCUGGAUCGGAAAAUCCGGUUGUUAGAAACAAAGAUUUUACCUUUGGUGCAUGCAAUCCUCCGUGUGAG
rnacentral:lncRNA from 1 species